GAUUUCUGUGCGCUAAUCUGCUUUAGCUGGUGUUUUAUGGGCUUAGGGAUGAACCUCAUAAAAUUCUUUUCAACAUCAAAAAAAAAAAAAAAGAAAAGAAAAGAAAAAUUCAAUUUGUCUUGGAAGGUAAUGAAAUUUUCUCAAUGAGUCUGGAGGAGGGCUGGCCCAUUACUUGUCACAGAAUGAUCCCAUUACUCAUAUGAAAUAAAACCAGAAUGCAAAAUG
rnacentral:lncRNA from 1 species